UUCCAGACUCCUACGGGAGGCAGCAGUGAGGAAUAUUGGUCAAUGGGCUUACGCCUGAACCAGCCAAGUCGCGUGAGGGAAGACUGCCCUAUGGGUUGUAAACCUCUUUUGUCAGGGAGCAAUUGGCGCUACGUGUAGCGUUAUCGAGAGUACCUGAAGAAAAAGCAUCGGCUAACUCCGUGCCAGCAGCCGCGGUAAUACGGAGGAUGCGAGCGUUAUCCGGAUUUAUUGGGUUUAAAGGGUGCGUAGGCGGAAUGCCAAGUCAGCGGUAAAAUCGCGGGGCUCAACCCCGUCCGGCCGUUGAAACUGGGGGCCUUGAGUGGGCGAGAAGAAGGCGGAAUGCGUGGUGUAGCGGUGAAAUGCAUAGAUAUCACGCAGAACCCCGAUUGCGAAGGCAGCCUUCCGGCGCCCUACUGACGCUGGGGCACGAAAGUGCGGGGAUCGAACAGGAUUAGAUACCCUUGUCC
rnacentral:rRNA from 1 species